GAUGAACGCUGGCGGUAUCGCUAACACAUGCAAGUCGUACGAGUAGUUUUUAACUCUAGUGGCGGACGGGUGAGUAACACGUGAGAAUUUGCCUUGACUCUGGGAUAACUGCGGGAAACUGUAGCUAAUACCGGAUAUUUUCCCUGGUGGGCAUCCACUGGGGAAGAAAGAAUUUCGGUCAAGGAUGAGCUCGCGGCCUAUCAGCUAGUUGGUGAGGUAAUGGCUCACCAAGGCGACGACGGGUAGCCGGCCUGAGAGGGUGACCGGCCACACUGGAACUGAGACACGGCCCAGACUCCUACGGGAGGCAGCAGUGGGGAAUAUUGGACAAUGGGCGAAAGCCUGAUCCAGCAAUGCCGCGUGAGUGAUGAAGGCCUUAGGGUUGUAAAGCUCUUUUACCAGGGAUGAUAAUGACAGUACCUGGAGAAUAAGCUCCGGCUAACUCCGUG
rnacentral:rRNA from 1 species